rnacentral:telomerase_RNA from 1 species
UGGGCCCGGGAGGGGUGUCGGCCAUUAGUGCCUAACCCUAACUGAGAAGGGCGUAGGCGCCGUGCUUUUGCUUCCCGCGCGCUGUUUUUCUCGCUGACUUUCAGCGGGCGGAAAAGCCUUGGCCUACUGCCGUCCACAGUCUAGUUUGGAGCAAACAAAAAAUGUCAGCGCUGGCCGGUUCACCCCUCCCGGGACCUGCGGUGGCUCGCCCGCCCUGCCCCGAGCCCUGCCUAAAGGCCGCGGUCGACCUGGGGCUUCUCCGGAGGUGCCCAAUGUCGCCGCGAAGAGUUGGGCUCUGUCAGCCGCGGGUCCUUCGGGUGCCAAGGGCGAGGCUCAGGCCUGCUGGCCGCAGGAAAGUAACGGAGCGGGUCCCUUCACGCGGUGCGCUUCCCUGAGCAGUGGGACUUGCGCCCGGGACUCAGCUCCUACAUAC